GGCCAGUUAGCUCAGUUGGUUAGAGCAUGGUGCUCAGAACACCAAGGGCAAGGGUUCCAAUCCCCUUACCAGCCA